GACGAACGCUGGCGGCGUGCUUAACACAUGCAAGUCGAACGGAAAGGCCCUGCUUGCAGGGUACUCGAGUGGCGAACGGGGGAGUAACACGUGGGUGAUCUGCCCUCCACUUCGGGAUAAGCCUGGGAAACUGGGUCUAAUACCGGAGAGGAGCCAUUUUUCGUGUGGUGGUUGGAAAGUUUUUUCGGUGUGGGAUGAGCGCGCGGCCUAUCAGCUUGUUGGUUGGGUAAUGGCCUACCAAGGCAGUGGCGGGUAGCCGGCCUGCGGGGGUGGACGGCCACAUUGGGGAUGGGAUACGGCCCAGGCUCCUACGGGGGGGAAGAGUGGGGAAUAUUGCAACAUGGGCGGAAGGCUGAUGGAGCGACGCCGCGGGGGGGAUGACGGCCUUCGGGUUGGAAACUCCCUUCGCUAGGGACGAAGCUGUUUGUGACGGUACCUAGAUAAGAAGCACCGGCUAACUACGUG
rnacentral:rRNA from 1 species